AGGGAUGUGGGAUAUGGGAACCGAGAGCUCUGAUUCAGCCCGAGCUGUUCUGCACAGAUCCUUGGGUUCCAAGCCUUCCACGCCAGCGAAUGCUCAUUCCCUCUCCUGCCUCCUGCCAUCACGAGGUGAAGGGCGAGUUGCAACCAGAAAAGGGAGACACGGAUUGUCCUCUCUUCCAUCGGCCCACAGGCCGCCUCUGGUUUUCAGGACAAAGACACAAGCUGCUGGCUUUUACUGUGGACCCCGUGGCAAUUCCGAGAGAAGCCCCGGCUUUCGUUUCAAUGCUAUUGUAAAAUGUCUAGAGAUGCUUAGCUAUAAGGCACCAUAAAAGUUUAAGAUAUUAUCGUUAAAAGGACAGAGCAAAGCUAUUCGUGGCAAAAGGUUCAGCCGAGUGCGGAGACACAGGGGCUGGAAAAAAGUGUGAGGAGAAUCCAGGAGGGCUAUUUGUGGCUGGUCGUGUUGUUUUGAUUCUCAUUUUCAAGUCUUUGUGUCAACAGUUUUACGGGACACAGUUGUUUGAGGUGCUACAGACGGGGACUUCACGUCAGCUUCGCUUUGUUCGAGAAAGGCUGGAGUUCGGCUGGACUGAAGAGCGUAAAAAUAUACAUUCAGGGCAACCAAAGAAAGCCAGAUGAAUUCAUUAACCCACGGAGAAAACCUCUGGUUCCUAAUUCUGGCCCUGAAUCCUUUUCUGACUUUGCUUUAGUCGGGGGAAGUGCUGUUUUGGUGGCUGCAGAUGCUUCUUUUUUUAUCACAGUUUUGUCCAAUACCUCUGGAACGCGUCCACGUCCGUUUUCUGGAUGAUGGACUCGCAUCCCGCAGCCACCGGAAACUAGGAGCUGUAUUGUAAUUUUCAGUAUCAUUCCCUCAACAGACACUCGCUGAAUAUGUUCUACCUGUAGGCACUGGACCGUCUUCUGAGGACAAAGCCCUGAGUAAAAUUGAACGUGGCGUCUGCCCUCAUGCAGUUGAAAUCAAGCCAGCGAAACACACAUCCAUCGCAUCAGCACGCAGCAAAACAGAAAAUUCUGACUGAUGCAGGUGCUGUGAAGAAAUACAAGGAGCUGUGAGCGUUUAAAGUAGGGGAUAGGAUCAAGCCAAAGAAAGAUGUCCCAAGAAAUAGUAAAAGCAAUACGUAUUGAAAACUCACUACGAACUAUGGUUCAGAGCACUUAGACGUAUUUUUUUUUCUCUUCAGCCACAUGAGACACGGAUCGUCUAUUAUUACUCCCACUCUAGAGAUGAGAAGGCUGAGGCAGACUCUCGAGUCGAGAGCUGAACUUGGGAUGCGCUCAGCCAAGAUAGGCAAGGUUAUGCUCUGCUACCAAGAAUCCCCCAAAUAUGAAAGUGUACUGCUUGCCUCGAUAUUUCAGGAGGGGAGAAUAAUCCAGACGUAGGUGUCAUCGUAUGCGAAGACCUUGCUCGUGGAUGGAGCCUGGACAGGAUUGCAAAGCAGGGUGGACGACAGGUCUGGAGCAGACCAGGAGCAGACCUGGAGACCGGCAGGGCUUCCCUCCCCACAAUCACAGGGGAGUCUGUGCGUGGUCCCAAGAGCACCACUAGAAUCAUGCAGAACCUACCAGCUAUGCCGCAGCGAGCAAUUCAUCUGAGGCCGACCCACUGUUCGGGAAGAGACCGCCUCUGCGCUUGAGACCUCCAAGCCAACUUACUUCGCACUGAAAUUUCCUUCUUCUUUUGCUUCUCAUUAUAAAGGCUGACGCAUAAUUUAACCAACGUUUUCCUCCAGCGGCGAU